GACGUAGGAGGCGAGCGUUGUCCGGAUUCAUUGGGCGUAAAGAGCGCGCAGGCGGCUUGGUAAGUCGGAUGUGAAAUCCCGAGGCUCAACCUCGGGUCUGCAUCCGAUACUGCCCGGCUAGAGGUAGGUAGGGGAGAUCGGAAUUCCUGGUGUAGCGGUGAAAUGCGCAGAUAUCAGGAGGAACACCGGUGGCGAAGGCGGAUCUCUGGGCCUUACCUGACGCUCAGGCACGAAAGCGUGGGGAUCAAACAGG
rnacentral:rRNA from 1 species